AUUCUUUCGCAGAGGCAAUAUUGUAGCCUAUGAGGUUUAUCCGAGGCGCGAUCAUUGCUGGUUGAAAACUUUACUCAAUACCCCGCCAGGAUGACUUGAAAUACAGUCAGCCUUGGCAAUUUUUUGCCAGCUUCUGUGGAAG
ensembl:snRNA U4 U4 spliceosomal RNA